UACAGAGGGUGCAAGCGUUGUUCGGAAUUAUUGGGCGUAAAGGGAGUGUAGGCGGUUGACUAAGUUUUCCGUGAAAUCUGCGGGCUCAGCCUGUCAAAGUGCGGAGAAAACUGGUCGACUUGAGUGUCAGAGAGGAUAGCGGAAUUCCCGGUGUAGAGGUGAAAUUCGUAGAGAUCGGGAGGAACACCAGUGGCGAAGGCGGCUAUCUGGCUGACAACUGACGCUGAGACUCGAAAGCAUGGGGAGCAAACAGG
rnacentral:rRNA from 1 species